AUGCAGUGAUGAGUCUUAUUUUUUGACCGAGUUUCUGAGAAUACAUGAUGUUUGAGAACUCAACUCUCAAAAGGUUAUGAUCAA
rnacentral:sRNA from 1 species